rnacentral:lncRNA from 12 species
ACUGUCUGAAGCCGUGUUCCUCUCUGAAACAGAUCUUUUCUGUCUUGCACAACUGACAGGGCUUCAACUGCAAAAUGUUAGCAGUAAUGAGGAAUAUCUGUGGUGCAUCAGUAAAUGAGUAUUCUGCAGGACUGGCCUGUAGCCUGCCAGGGUCUGGCUGUGCCUCAUGGAAGAAAAACACCUCUAGGAAGACUGAAAGUCAGUGUUGGAGUAAAUGAUGUACAUUGACAUCACUUAUCUUGUUUGCAUUGUUCUGUGGCACUGCUGACUCAGAAUCCAGAGGUGAAAAUGAAAAUUACAAUUCCUUAUGAUGUUGGGUUCUAGUAAAUGUGGGAGGAGCCGGUGAAGUGACUUUAUCCUCGGAGAUCCGAUUGACUUCUGCAUUCCCUUGGAAAGAGGAGCUGGAUAAACUGGGAUUUGAAAAGGCUGCACAGGCACUGGGAGAACGGAAGGGAAGAGACAUGAAGGGUUCCUUGGACACCAGCAGCUUCUGAGGUACUGUGUCUUCUUUAGAGGGUGCUGUCUUCUGUCCUGCUCUCU